ACAGCCUUAUUGAAUAUGAGGGUUAUUCAAAUCAAAUGUUAUUAGUCACAUGCCCGAAUACAACAGGUGUAGUAGACCUUACAGUGAAAUGCUGAAUUACAACAGGUGUAGUCGACCUUACAGUGAAAUGCUGAAUACAACAGGUGUAGUCGACCUUACAGUGAAAUGCUGAAUACAACAGGUGUAGUAGACCUUACAGUGAAAUGCUGAAUACAACAGGUGUAGUAGACCUCACAGUGAAAUGCUGAAUACAACAGGUGUAGUAGACCUUACAGUGAAAUGCUGAAUACAACAGGUGUAGUAGACCUUACAGUGAAAUGCUGAAUACAACAGGUGUAGUAGACCUUACAGUGAAAUGCUGAAUACAACAGGUGUAGUUGACCUUACAGUGAAAUGCUGAAUACAACAGGUGUAGUAGACCUUACAGUGAAAUGCUGAAUACAACAGGUGUAGUAGACCUUACAG